UGGGGAAUAUUGCACAAUGGGCGCAAGCCUGAUGCAGCCAUGCCGCGUGUGUGAAGAAGGCCUUCGGGUUGUAAAGCACUUUCAGCGGGGAGGAAGGCGGUGAGGUUAAUAACCUCACCGAUUGAAGUUACCCGCAGAAGAAGCACCGGCUAACUCCGGGCCCGCAGCCGCGGUAAUACGGAGGGUGCAAGCGUUAAUCGGAAUUACUGGGCGUAAAGCGCACGCAGUCGGUCUGUCAAAUAGGAUGUGAAAUCCCCGGGCUCAACCUGGGAACUGCAUUCGAAACUGGCAGGCUAGAGUCUUGUAGAGGGGGGUAGAAUACCAGGUGUAGCGGUGAAAUGCGGAGAGAUCUGGGGGAAUACCGGUGGCGAAGGCGGCCCCCUGGACAAAGACUGACGCUCAGGUGCGAAAGCGGGGGGAGCAAACAGG
rnacentral:rRNA from 1 species